GCUGAAGUAGCUCAGUUGGGAGCGCAUUAGACUGAAGAUCUAAAGGUCCUUGGUUCAAUCCUGGGGUCUGGCA
rnacentral:tRNA from 1 species